rnacentral:rRNA from 1 species
AGAUUGAACGCCGGCGGCAUGCCUUACACAUGCAAGUCGAACGGCAGCACGGGGGCAACCCUGGUGGCGAGUGGCGAACGGGUGAGUAACAUAUCGGAACGUGCCCUGGAGUGGGGGAUAACUAGUCGAAAGACUAGCUAAUACCGCAUACGAUCUAUGGAUGAAAGUGGGGGAUCGCAAGACCUCAUGCUCGUGGAGCGGCCGAUAUCUGAUUAGCUAGUUGGUGGGGUAAAGGCCUACCAAGGCAUCGAUCAGUAGCUGGUCUGAGAGGACGACCAGCCACACUGGGACUGAGACACGGCCCAGACUCCUACGGGAGGCAGCAGCGGGGAAUUUUGGACAAUGGGCGCAAGCCUGAUCCAGCAAUGCCGCGUGAGUGAAGAAGGCCUUCGGUUGUAAAGCUCUUUUUGUCAGGGAAGAAACGGUUCUGGCUAAUACCUGGAGCUAAUGACGUACUGAAGAAUAAGCACGCUAACUACGU